GGACUACUAGGGUAUCUAAUCCUGUUUGCUCCCCACGCUUUCGUGCCUCAGCGUCAGGAAUGGACCAAGAAGCUGCCUUCGCCAUUGGUGUUCCUCUCGAGAUCUUAGCAUUUUACCGCUCCUCCGAGAAUUCCACUUCUCUCUUCCACCCUCUAGCAAACCAGUUUCCAUUGCGAGCCUCCGGUUGGGCCGGAGAAUUUGACAAUAGACUUAAUAUGCCGCCUACGCACCCUUUACGCCCAAUCAUUCCGAAUAACGCUUGCACCCCUCGUAUUACCGCGGCUGCUGGCAC
rnacentral:rRNA from 1 species